rnacentral:rRNA from 1 species
CCUACGGGAGGCAGCAGUGAGGAAUAUUGGUCAAUGGACGAGAGUCUGAACCAGCCAAGUAGCGUGAAGGAUGACUGCCCUAUGGGUUGUAAACUUCUUUUAUAUGGGAAUAAAACGUUCCACGUGUGGGAUUUUGUAUGUACCAUAUGAAUAAGGAUCGGCUAACUCCGUGCCAGCAGCCGCGGUAAUACGGAGGAUCCGAGCGUUAUCCGGAUUUAUUGGGUUUAAAGGGAGCGUAGGUGGAUUGUUAAGUCAGUUGUGAAAGUUUGCGGCUCAACCGUAAAAUUGCAGUUGAAACUGGCAGUCUUGAGUACAGUAGAGGUGGGCGGAAUUCGUGGUGUAGCGGUGAAAUGCUUAGAUAUCACGAAGAACUCCGAUUGCGAAGGCAGUUCACUGGACUGCAACUGACACUGAAGCUCGAAAGUGUGGGUAUCAAACAGGAUUAGAUACCCGAGUAGUC